UACCCCCUCAAGCCUCGCUUGGUGUUGGACCCCGCCCCCGCCGUUCGCGCGAGGGCGCCGUCCGAAAGUCAUCGGCGCCCGUCGCCGGCCCCAGCGUUGUGGAAUCAUCCGCUGGUGUCGGCCGGCGAGGCCGCCUCGUCCUAUUCAGUAAC
rnacentral:misc_RNA from 1 species